rnacentral:rRNA from 1 species
AUUGAACGCUGGCGGCAGGCUUAACACAUGCAAGUCGAACGAGUGGCGGACGGGUGAGUAAUGCUUGGGAAUCUGGCUUAUGGAGGGGGAUAACUACGGGAAACUUUAGCUAAUACCGCGUACCCUAGGAUGAGCCCAAGUGGGAUUAGGUAGUUGGUGGGGUAAAGGCUCACCAAGCCGACGGUCUCUAGCUGGUCUGAGAGGAUGACGAGCCACACUGGGACUGAGACACGGCCCAGAGUCCUACGGGAGGCAGCAGUGGGGAAUAGUGCGCAAGGGGGGCAAACAGACGCAGACAUGCCGAGUGAAUGAAGAAGGCAUUCGGGUUGUAAAGUUCUUUCGGUAGCGAGGCGUUAACGACAGAAGAAGCACCGGCUAACUCCGUGCCAGCAGCCGCGGUAAUAC